rnacentral:rRNA from 1 species
CGCAUGCCGGAGGGGUAACCCACUGGUAUGACGGAGCGGCGAACGGGUGAGUAACACUUGAGCAACCUGCCCCGCAGACCGGGAUAGCCCAGGGAAACCUGGAUUAAUACCGGAUACCCUCACGGAAUCGCAUGAUUCGGUGAGGAAAAGCUUUUGCGCUGUGGGAUGGGCUCGAGGCUUACCAGCUAGUUGGUGGGGUAACGGCCUACCAAGGCAUCGACGAGUAGCUGGUCUGAGAGGACGACCAGCCACACUGGGACUGAGACACGGCCCAGACUCCUACGGGAGGCAGCAGCAGGGAAUCUUGCGCAAUGGGCGAAAGCCUGACGCAGCAACGCCGCGUGGGGGAUGACGGCCUUCGGGUUGUAAACCCCUUUCAGGAGGGAAGAAAUUGACGGUACCUCCAGAAGAAGCACCGGCCAACUACGUGCCAGCAGCCGCGGUAAUACGUAGGGUGCAAGCGUUAUCCGGAAUCAUUGGGCGUAAAGAGCUCGUAGGCGGUUCAGCAAGUCGGCUGUGAAAUUCCGAGGCUCAACCUCGGAACUGCAGUCGAUACUGCUGUGACUCGAGUCCGGUAGAGGAGAAUGGAAUUCAGGGUGUAGCGGUGAAAUGCGCAGAUAUCCUGAGGAACACCAGUAGCGAAGGCGGUUCUCUGGGCCGGUACUGACGCUGAGGAGCGAAAGCGUGGGUAGCAAACAGGAUUAGAUACCCUGGUAGUCCACGCCGUAAACGUUGGACACUAGGUGUGGCGUUCCGACCAACGGGUGCCGUGCCGAAGCUAACGCAUUAAGUGUCCCGCCU